AGUAGUUAGUAACAUUUUACAGCUAAGACCACACACAUGGUGAAUUUUGCAUUAAUUUGUACAAGUAAACCUAGGGUAUAAUCAGAAAGCCGUUAAAACUAAAAGUACCUACCAUACCUAUAUAAAUUGGCAUUCAAAUAAAUUUAUUUCUGUAAUUGAGUUUAUAAUGAAGACAGGAACGGAUUUAAUCAAACUUCAAAGUAUUUAAAAACGUUAUUAUCUUUGAUGGAAACAAUUUUUAUAUCCUGGUAAAUAUACUGCUCUCAAAUAAAUACCAUUCAUAGUCAAGAACUUGUAUAUACAUACGAUCCAACAAAAAAAUGCUAAAAUAAACAUAUGGGAAAAUCGAAUGUUUCAUAUAUUAUACGAGAGACGUAUUCAUCUUUUCUUUAUAUCAGAGGCGUUACAAACUUUUUGAUAAAUCCAUAGAAGGUCAGGUCAGGUACUUCUGGGAACAUCGUCGUAUUUCACACAAGUGAGAUACAUCAGAUGUUAAUAUGAUCUCAUCUUAAAAAAUUAUUGAUCUAAAAACAGUACCAGAUGGAAUUUUCUUGCAUACCAUUUGUCGAAAUAUUUCAUCUAAUGAAGAGAUUAUAAAAUGUGAGAAUAGUGUGUCAAUAAAAAUAUUAUAAAAACAUUUUCGAAAAGUGGAUAAAGGCGAAGGAAAUAAAAAAAAGAAAAUAAUUGCAAUUGCGUAAAAUAAUAUCUAUUUAAAAGAGAGACGUUAUCUCUAAUUAAAUCGGCAAAUUACUAUAAUUUCUAGGCGCAGUAAAUACAAAUUACAUUCGACAACGAAAUAGAGAAGUUAAAAGAUCAAGUUAUAUAAAGUAAAUAUUUUUUUAAAAUCAAAAUUCGAUUUUGUACCUGACAUGAUAUAUCAUUUGUCAAUAUUGAUUCUUUAUAUACAAUCAAGAAAUAAGGAAUGGAAAAAUACAUCUCAUUACGAGGUCUGGCUUUUAAAUAAAGAGACUGGUUACAAAAAAGGGUUCAAUAUACUCCCCUCCCCUCGCCACACACCUUUCCAUACGUUUUUUCCAUUGAUCGGAGCAGUGCUGGAGGUCUUCUUUGGUGAGCGCCUUUAGGAGCUCUCCCGUUUUUCGCUUUACCGCUUCCAUUGACUCAAAUCGGGUUCCUUUCGAAGCAGAUCUUUUUCUAAACUUUCAAGGAAAUCUGAGCAGACCCGUUGACUCAAGAGCUUUUGGUCAGGAGCAAAUUUUUUGGCACCAACUUCGCACAGACUUUUGUCAUGUGUAAUUGCUCGUGUGAAAUUUUUCCAACCAUUUCUUUUAUCGGCGUUUACAGCUUCGGCAAUCAUCCGGAUGCUCAUUCGACGAUCUGCACGCACGAUUUGGUUGAUUUUGGUCACUGUUUCUCGAUGCUCACUAUAGCGCUUACACCACUCAAAAACACGCGCACGAGAUAGAGAAUUGUCUCCAUAGGCCUCUUGCAACAAUUUAUAGUACUCAGUUGGAGUUUUUUUCAAUUUAACAAGAAAUUUGAGAUUGAUACGUUGCUCUUGUUUCAAAACGUUACUGCACAAAUACUAUAAUAGUGACGGAAACGUGUUUUGGCACGUGCAUAGACAAGAUAUCUAGAUAUCCAACGCACUACUCGUUUUUUAUCCCACCCGUCUAGGGCGCCCUCUAACGCGCAGUCUCUUUAUUUAAUAAACGGACCUCGUAUGCUGUAACAUAUUAGUCGUAUUUUCAAGCAAAUCCCAACCAUAUCAAUUUUCAUUUAAUUAAAACAAAUAAUCCAAAAUCCUCAACAAAAUAUCGUGUUUCUAAAAAGAUUUCUCGAUUCAUCGAAGAAAACUAGGAGCCAGAAAAUAUGCUAACAAACAACCUUACAUACAACUAUUAAUCUUUGAUCAUUAAACAUAUUUAAAGUGAAUUAAAUUCUAAUAGGUGUUUCGUUUUUGUUUAGUAUAAACGCCGUACGUACAAUUAUUUUUUUAUACGUGUAUGAGAUGCAAUAAAACGUUAACCUGACGAUCAGAAGUGAAAAUCUCAAGGACGUUUUCUUUCGAAGAGUUAUAAUUUGGUAUUUCGCUUGAAAAUAUUCCACCACAAGUUCUUCAUCAAAUUAUAUCGAUAUAUUUUAUCUACUAAUUCUCCUAUCGAAUGUGACACUUUAAGCUACUCCUUGAUAUUAGGAAACGUAACAUUUUUCAUAACAUACAUAUAUUCUACCGACAACACUCUACCACUGAUAGAUCUCAAUAAAUGAUUCAUUUUGAUAUAGUAUUACGAACGCUAGUUGCUGAGAUAUAAAGUGUUGGAAAUUUUAAAUCAAAAUUAAAAAUUUGCCAUAAAUCAAGAACGCAUUUAAAUUUUUUUUUCUAAUUUGGUGAUCAAUAGGCUUCUUUCAAGAUAAUAAAUUAUUGUUUUCUACGUAUUUUCCAAGUAUAUUUAAAUAAAUUACUGCUUUAGGUCGUAGUUCGUUUUGGCAAAUAUUACGCUUGUUGAACAAUAUGUCUCUUUUCAAUAACUAUAAUAAAAUUAUUUCUAA